rnacentral:rRNA from 1 species
UACGGGGGGGGCAAGCGUUGUUCGGAAUUACUGGGCGUAAAGGGCUCGUAGGCGGCCAACUAAGUCGGACGUGAAAUCCCCAGGCUCAACCUGGGAACUGCGUCCGAUACUGGAUGGCUUGAAUCCGGGAGAGGGAUGCAGAAUUCCAGGUGUAGCGGUGAAAUGCGUAGAUAUCUGGAGGAAUACCGAUGGCGAAGGCAGGUCUCUGGGCUGACACUGACGCUCAUGCACGAAAGCGUGGGGAGCAAACAGG